rnacentral:rRNA from 1 species
ACCGGCGCACGGGUGCGUAACACGUGGAUAACCUACCUCGAUGACUGGGAUAACUGGCCGAAAGGCUUGCUAAUACCAGAUAAGCCCCCGACCUCUUUGGAGGAAGAGGGAAAAGGCGGCCUCUGUAAACAAGCUGUCACAUCGAGAUGGGUCCGCGGCCCAUCAGCUAGUUGGCGGGGUAAUGGCCCACCAAGGCAACGACGGGUAGCUGGUCUGAGAGGAUGAUCAGCCACACUGGAACUGAGACACGGUCCAGACUCCUACGGGAGGCAGCAGUGGGGAAUCUUGCGCAAUGGGCGAAAGCCUGACGCAGCAACGCCGCGUGUGUGAUGAAGGUCUUCGGAUCGUAAAGCACUGUCGGGAGGGAAGAUACGCUUCUCAAUAACAAGGUGAGGCUAAGACGGUACCUCCAGAGGAAGCACCGGCUAACUCUGUGCCAGCAGCCGCGGUAAUACAGAGGGUGCGAGCGUUGUUCGGAAUUAUUGGGCGUAAGGCGCUUGUAGGCGGCUUGUUAAGUCGCGUGUGAAAUCCCCAGGCUUAACCUGGGAAGUGCGCGCGA